rnacentral:tRNA from 1 species
GCAAAUGUAGCUCAGUUGGCAGAGCGAGGGAUUCAUAGCCCCUAGGCCGCUGGUUCAAGCCCAGCCAUUUGCACCA